rnacentral:SRP_RNA from 1 species
UCAGGGAAUUGUAGUAGGUGCCUGUAGUCCCUACUGUUUGGGAGGCCGAGGCAGGAGGAUUGCUGAAGUUUACAAGUUCUAGGCUAUAGUGUGCUAUGCUGAUCCAUGUCUGCACUGACCUUGAUAUCAGGACUAUGGCCACCUGGAAGGUAGAGACCACCAGGUAGCCUAAGGAGGGGUGAAGCUGACUCAGGUCUGAAAUAGAGUAGGUCUUAACUCCCAUGUUCAUCAGCAGUGGGAUAGAGCUCAUGGAUAGCCACUGCAUUCCAGCCUGGGCAACACAAUGAUCCUGGUCUCU